UGUCGUUUCCCACAUAUUCGUGUGUUUGAGUUUUGUUCUACACAGUUGACAAUGUGGCUCUUCGGCUUGGCAGCAUGUUGCUCCUCGUCCCUGAAUCUACUCGUAUUGCCGUGUACUUUGUCGCUAAACCUUUAAGUCUCCUUCGUCUGGUGUUUUCGAGAAGAAAUGCAAGCUUAGUUAAAAGUCAUCAUUUCUAGCUCAACUGAACAGUCACGAGCUAUUUCGCAUUCCCUUCACGUACGCAGUCGCUGAACUGGGAGCUUUUCGAGGCUCCUGUGCCAACCUCUUAGGUCCUCAGUUUCACCUACCUCGUCGUAGUCACUGAGCCAUGUUCACUGAAUCGUCGUUCCAGCAUCACCCUCGCGCAUCUGAUGCCCUCCACCUUUUCGCAUCUACUUUCAUAUUUUUGCCUCCCUC
rnacentral:lncRNA from 1 species